UUUAAUAUUUUGCUUGCAAAUGCUCAGACGACACUGUUAAAGCUUUAGGUUUUGUAAUGCCGGCGGGCUGGGACAGAGGGGUUGCCCCCUCUAUAUCGCCCGCCGAAGUAUGGGGGAAAGUAGGCAAAGGGUGGGGAGUCAGGAGCCGAAGCUCCGUCUUGUACUCCUUAAUGAUCCUUCCGCAGGUUCACCUACGGAAA
rnacentral:misc_RNA from 1 species